GAUGAACGCUAGCGGCAGGCUUAACACAUGCAAGUCGAGGGGUAGUCAUCUUCGGAUGAUGAGACCGGCGCACGGGUGCGUAACGCGUAUACAAUCUACCUUUUACAGAGGGAUAGCCCAGAGAAAUUUGGAUUAAUACCUCAUAGUAUUUUCGGAUGGCAUCAUUUGAUUAUUAAAGUUCCAACGGUAAAAGAUGAGUAUGCGUCCCAUUAGCUAGAUGGUAAGGUAACGGCUUACCAUGGCUACGAUGGGUAGGGGUCCUGAGAGGGAGAUCCCCCACCGUUGUACUGCGACACGGACCAGACGCCUACGGGAGGCAGCAGUGGGGAAUAUUGGACAAUGGGCGCAAGCCUGAUCCAGCCAUGCCGCGUGCAGGAAGAAGGUCCUAUGGGUUGUAAACUGCUUUUGUACGGGAAAAAACCCCCGGUCGCGCACCGGGGCUGAUGGUACCGUAAGAAUAAGCAUCGGCUAACUCCGUGCCAGCCGCCGCCGUAAUAC
rnacentral:rRNA from 1 species